rnacentral:lncRNA from 1 species
CGGAGACUUCCUCAGAGCCUGUGUUGCCAGGCAGGCCAGCCCUCAUUACUCCGUUUCCCAGGGCCCCGCAUUUUAGUUCUACGACUUUGAAACGUGUUGCCUUCCACGUUCUCCCUGGAAAGAAGCAGGCUAUCAUUAAUGACAGAAUAGAAAACAAAAGACCCUUAAUUUGGCCAUGUAUGAAGCUAUUUCAGAAAUGGGUCCUGCUCUGUUAAGCCUCCGGACAACAGCCACCCCUGCCAACCUCCUGACUGCAAACUCAGGGCGCUGGUGCCACCAGCAGUGAAUAACAGAAUGAGACAGGAGAAAAGGGCUCAAGGCUCCUCAACAGUUUGAAGAGAUCCAGACUCUUAAUGUCUGCAGGACACAACAAUAUUGUGCUGUAAGGGCCAGUGCAGUGGCCUGGCUCAUCCUUGAAAGCAGGCUUGACACUCACCUCUGCAUCUCAGCUGACAGCCACGGAGCAGUGCUUGGAGAGAGGACGGUGCGCUAGCUUGCGGGGCGCGUGCUGGUCUGGCCACUACCAGCAGAGGGCAGUAGUCGCCGCGGCACAGGCGGGCUGGAGGGAGCUGACCUUUCCUUGACGGAAGGCGCCCCGGGCAGACAGCUCCGCAAGGAAGAGGAAGGCUUCACAACAGAUUGAUGAGGCUGGGACUGCCUAGCUCGGGAGAUCCGUGCCCAAGACCAGACAGCCUCAGUCCUCAUCACUGCUGCCGCCGCCCAGGGACUUCAUGGUGCUGACCGGAGGGUUAACAACAGAAGGUCCCCAGAUGCCCCAGCCUGACAGUGAUGAUUCCAAGGCGGAAGAAGGGAGGGCUGUGCGGACGGCCUGGGCCUCCCUGUAGCACCCAGCACACUGCUGUGAGGACACGGCCUUCCCCAGACCAACCCAAGCAGACAACCCUUACUGCGAGUGCCUGGGAGCCCACGUGCAGCGCAUCAGUGUACAACCCUGCCACCGCGGCGCCCUUCUCCCGCUAGCUGAACACCCCAUUUACCUGGAGGAGACUCCUCUGGAAUCUACCUCCCCUGCCCAGACCUCUCUGUCGGGACAUCGUCUUGUGCCAGUGUGGUUCCUAGAACCAGCUGAGAAGUACACCUAGGAGCACAGAUGGGUAGAGAUCUUUGGCCUCCUCCACAGGACAUGGAAGGGAUCCGUAUCAUGCCGUGGUCAGUCUGGUUGUCCAGUGACUGACAUCCUCGGAGAUGAGAUAAAACAGAUGCAGUUUCAUCCAUGGACAAAAUCUCAACACUUUAUUCAUCCCUUGGCAGGGAGAGGGGGGCACUGCCCAGUCAGGUGGGGUGGCUGGGAUAUGUGUUGUCUAAAUUCCAGAUAGUAUACACAGCACUGAUCAUGCAGAAACAGGAAGGGAAGCAAUAAGUUAAAAGCCACAUAAGUUAUGAAAAAAUAAUAUAUACUUUAUAUAUCUCAUCCCACUGAGGAUUUGCUCCCUUGGAAACCAAUAAAGAGCCCGAGAGAAAGCAGCAAUCAGCACCCUCUUUGGGGACAUCAGGGAUGAACAGCUGGCCCAGCUCCCUUUGGCCUGAAAGAGUUGGUGGCCCAUCAGCACUGCCAAGGCCUUAGCCCACCC